GCCAGGCGUGAUGAUGCAUGCCUAUAGUCCCAGCUACUUGGGAGGCUGAGGUGGGAGGAUCAUUUGAGCCCAGGAGUUCGAGGCUGCAGUGAGCCAUGAUCGUGCCACUGCACUCCAGCCUGGGCAACAGAAUGAGACUCCAUCUCCC
rnacentral:SRP_RNA from 1 species